UACGUAGGCAGCAAGCGUUGUUCGGAGUUACUGGGCGUAAAGGGUGUGUAGGCGGUUUUUUAAGUUUGGUGUGAAAUCUCCCGGCUCAACUGGGAGGGUGCGCCGAAUACUGAAAGACUAGAGUGCGGGAGAGGAAAGUGGAAUUCCUGGUGUAGCGGUGAAAUGCGUAGAUAUCAGGAGGAACACCGGUGGUGUAAACGGCUUUCUGGACCGUAACUGACGCUGAGACACGAAAGCGUGGGUAGCAAACAGG
rnacentral:rRNA from 1 species